AGCAGCCGCGGUAAUUCCAGCUCCAAUAGCGUAUAUUAAAGUUGUUGCAGUUAAAAAGCUCGUAGUUGAAUUUCGGGGUCAGUAAGUUGGUCGUGCCUAUGGUAUGUACUGGCUUUACUGAUUCCUCCUUCUUGAAGAACUGUAAUGCCAUUAAUUUGGUGUUGCAGGGAAUCAGGACUGUUACUUUGAAAAAAUUAGAGUGUUUAAAGCAGGCUUACGCUUGAAUACAUUAGCAUGGAAUAAUGAAAUAGGACGUUGAUCCUAUUUUGUUGGUUUCUAGGGUUGACGUAAUGAUUAAUAGGGAUAGUUGGGGGCAUUAGUAUUCAAUUGUCAGAGGUGAAAUUCUUGGAUUUAUUGAAGGCUAACUACUGCGAAAGCAUUUGCCAAGGAUGUUUUCAUUAAUCAAGAACGAAAGUUAGGGGAUCGAAGACGAUCAGAUACCGUCGUAGUCUUAACCAUAAACUAUGCCGACUAGGGAUCGGAUGAUGUUAAUUUUUAAUGACUCAUUCGGCGCCUUACG
rnacentral:rRNA from 1 species